AUUGAACGCUGGCGGCAGGCCUAACACAUGCAAGUCGAGCGAGCGGCGGACGGGUGAGUAAUGUAUGGGGACUGCCCGAUAGAGGGGGAUAACUACUGGAAACGGUGGCUAAUACCGCAUACUAACGGAUAACCCAUACUGCUUUAUCUAGUAGGUGGGGUAAAGGCUCACAUAGGCUACGAUCCCUAGCUGGUCUGAGAGGAUGAUGCGCCACACUGGGACUGCGACACGUCCCAGACUCCUACGGAGGCAGCAGUGGGGAAUAUUGCACAAUGGGCGAAAGCCUGAUGCAGCCAUGCCGCGUGUAUGAAGAAGGCCUUAGGGUUGUAAAGUACUUUCAGCGGGGAGGCGGUAGCGGAAGAAGAAGCACCGGCUAACUCCGUGCCAGCAGCCGCGGUAAUAG
rnacentral:rRNA from 1 species